rnacentral:rRNA from 1 species
UACGUAGGGGGCAAGCGUUGUCCGGAAUCAUUGGGCGUAAAGAGCGUGUAGGCGGCCCAAUAAGUCAGCUGUGAAAUCGCUGGGCUCAACCCAUGCAAUUGCAGUUGAUACUGUCGGGCUUGAAUGGGGUUGAGGCUGGCGGAAUGCGGCAUGUAGCGGUGAAAUGCUUAGAUAUGCCGCAGAACACCGAUUGCGAAGGCAGCCAGCUGGGCCUUGAUUGACGCUGAGGCACGAAAGCGUGGGGAGCAAACAGG